CAAUUUUAAAUUGUCCAAUUGUAUAGUACUUUAGAAAAGUAAAACUACUACAGGUAUUCAGUCAAAUGUGUUUAACUGAUGUUUUGUUAACUGAUCUUUCAGGUUCCCCAGGUAGCUAAUUGAACUAUUAUUAAGGCAGGAGAUUCAGAAGAUAUAAAUUCUUCCAGCUGUAAUGUAAAAAUACAAGAAGAGGUGUUUAGUUUCAAAUCAUUGAGCAUAAAUACUGAUGUUUUCCAACGGAAUCUGUUUUACAGAUCAUGCAGAUCUUUUCUCCCCUCAGACUGACGACACUUUGUGUUCAGGAUGUCUGGUAAUUUUACCGAUGGGUGAUAUUUACCAGUUUUGCUCACAAGUGGCACUUGUUAAGUUUUACUUUGCUUACAAAUAAAGAGUAUUUAUUUAAUUUGUUCCCAUGCAGAAUAAAAUAUUUUCAAAUAUUACUCAUUUCAACAUUUAGACAAGUGAGUACUGUAUUCACAUAUUCAGUUAAAAUACCUGGAAACGGACAUGAUACAAUACUAACGGUUUCAUAUACUGUACAGUACUUGGCGCCCAACUUUUAUAUUUUCACGUUCAUUUUUAAAUUGCAGUCCUCCUUAUUUGCCGCGUGACUGUGUUAUUCAAAGUAUGCACUGUCAUUACACAAGACGCGUGUGGUAACUUUGAGUAAAACCGCACAGUGCGGUUUGUGCACUAAAGUCAGGCAAUCCUCGAUCGCCGCAGACUUGAUCAGAACAGUUGACUAAAGCUUUCCCUUUAAAUUCGAUUACUCUCCCUUGCUUGUGACCUUGUGAUGUGACAUCACUCCUACUAUUUAUACAGUCACUUCUUAACAGCUGUUAGUACGGGGAGUGGGUUUUUUUUUGGAAUUAGAAAAAGCGGUUAAAUAUUUGGUCUGAGACUGCGUCAGCCAAGGUAGUGAGCAGUAAUAUUCUCCCUCAAAUAAUGGCGGCCAGCGUUUUGUCGUCUAACUACAGUUCAUUUUAAUCCGUGUUGUAGCCUUUUAGAAACUGGUAUUCGAAAAUUCUAUUUGAAUAGGCGCUGUUAUUUUAGGCAAUGGUAUCUUUAGGAAUUUAGUGCUUAAGAUAAACUGGUGCUCAAGAUACUAGACUAUUUUAAUGGCGCAGUGUUAUAAAGGUUAGUUUUAAAGAAAGAUCUGAGCCAAAUUAUAAACACAUUUAGCGGUUUACAUAUAACUGAUCUUAUAUUUGCUUAGAGAUUACAGGUGUAUCCGUAACUAGCAAUGGCUUUUGUAACUUCCCCUCCGGCCACCUCGACAAGCCGGGCAUCCCGGACCACAAGGCGCAGCACGGCUGGGGUCUCUCCGUCAGGCUCCAGCCCCACGCGUCUGAGUCGUUUGCAGGAGAAAGAGGAGCUCAGGCAGCUCAAUGAUCGCCUUGCCGCUUACAUCGAGCGAGUCCAGCAGCUGGAGAAUGACAAAGCCUCCAUACAGCUUCUGCUGGAGGAGAAAGAGGAAAACUCGUCCCGGGAGGUGGAUAAAAUCCGGCUGCUGUACGGCUCGGAGCUCGCCGAGGCCAGGAAGCUGCUGGACGAUACGGCCAACGAGAGAGCCAGGCUUCAGCUAGAGCUAAGCAAGCUCACAGAGGACCACCGGCAGCUGCAGACGAGGAACAGUAAGAAGGAGGCUGAGUUGACCACAGCAGCUGGUCGUUUAAGAAACCUUGAAGCUCUGCUCAACUCCAAAGAAGCAGAAGUGGCCAACUUGCUGGCAGGAAACAGAAGACUAGAAAACGAAACUUCUGAACAUACUGCUCAGAUUGCCAAACUAGAAUCUGCACUAAAUGAUGCCAGGACACAGCUCCAUGAUGAAAUGUUGCGAAGAGUUGACUUGGAGAACCAAGUGCAGACACUGCGGGAACAGAUGGAUUUUCAGAAGCAGCUCAGUGAGGAAGAAAUCAGGGAAACGAGGACCCGCCAUGAGAAAAAAUUGGUGGAGCUGGAUUCUGGCCGGCGGAAGGAGUUUGAGAGUAAAUUGGCAGAGGCGCUGAAACAGCUCCGAAAUGAACACGAGUAUGACAUCCAGCAGUACAAGGAGGAGCUCGAGAGAACAUUCAGUGCAAAGCUGGAGAACGCGCAGCUGGCUGCUGCCAAGAACAGUGAUUUAGCCUGCGCUUCAAGAGAAGAGCUCAUGGGAACUAAAAUGAGAGUGGAAACUUUAUCAUCUCAGCUCAGUCAUUUUCAAAAGCAGAACACCGCAUUAGAGGCUAAAGUCAGGGACCUGGAAGAGGCACUAGACCGGGAGAGAGUUUCUGGUCAUCAGCGGGUGAUGGAGAAAGACCGGGAGAUGGUGGAAAUGAGGCAGCGGAUGCAGGCUCAGCUGGAGGAAUAUGCCAAUCUCUUAGAUGUGAAACUGGCCCUGGACAUGGAGAUCAAUGCCUAUAGGAAAAUGCUGGAAGGAGAAGAACAGAGGUUCAACCUUUCCCCCGGCCCCUCGCCUCAGACAGCUGUCCCCCGCAGUCACGCGCACAGCUCCUGGAGACCCCGUGGCAAGAAAAGGAAACUAGAGGAGAGACCAGGCGUCUCUACUGGGUACAAAAUAUCCCAGCAUUCCUCAUCUGUAGGAGGAGUGUCUGUUGAUGAGGUAGACUUGGAAGGAAAUUUUGUCAAGCUCAGGAAUAAUUCAGACACUGACCAGCCUAUUGGUGGGUGGAUUCUGAAAAAUUAUACAGCAGUGCCAGGAACUGCAUUUACAAUCCCCUCUUCAUUUGUGCUUAGAGCUGGGCAGACAAUCACAAUCUGGGCCUCGGGGGCUGGGGUGAACCCGAACCCCCCCAGUGACUUUGUCUGGAAGAACCAGAAAACCUGGGGCACCGGUGAUGACAUCAGGAUUGUCCUGCUGAACAGCCGAGACGAGGUGAUUGCAGAGCGAGCUCUCCUGCGCAUAGAGAGGGAGGUGGAGGGGGAGUCGGAGGCUGAGUUUCAUGAAGAUGUGGUCGCUGGCAGCGAGGUGCACUUCCGACGCCAGGUGAUGACAUAAUAGCAGCACAGAAUGAUGACGGGAGAAAAAAGUAUCGCCAGCUUUGCAUCAUGUGUGACUUAUUAUUCAUAAACAGUUAAGAAGAUGCUGAAAUUGGUUACACAGAGCAUUCGUCCAUCAUAGCUGUGUUUCUGUCAGUGGAAAAUGCAAUAAUCUGGAGGAUUUCUCUCUCAAAACAUGGAUGCAGACUUUCACUUUUAUUCAGUGUUGCUGUUCUCCUCUUACCUCAGCCAAAAAGAAGAAAAAAGAAAUGUUGUUCCGUCUCUUGACUUGCCUCUGUCAGUAGGAACAGACAGACUGCUUCUGUAGGUGAGGUGUACAUGCAGACAGGGCUCCCACGCCUUGAUGGUGGCUUGCUCAGCUUUUAAUUUUUUGCUUAACUGCUCUGCUAUUUGUGAAAGACUGUCUCAUGCAGUAUUAACAUGCUUUCUCAAGGCAAGAGGUCUGAUCUUGAAGGAAUAAUUUUUAGUGUAGUGAAGAGCAUUGUUGCACGAGCAGAGUCAGGCUGGUUUGCAGAUCUGUCCUCUGUGUCCAGGUUCUGGAGCUGCACACAGAACCUUGUCUCAUAAGCUUAGUGGUCCAGGUAGGGAAAGCUAUCUGGAAAACAUGCUCUUUAAACCUUUAAACCUCUUACCGUGAGAUCCUGCUGUGCAUUCAGCGAACUAGAUAGUGUUGUACAUAGGCUGUCUGUAGUAAAAUCAUUCUGUUCUGAGCCCUAAGACUUGCUGUACAAUGUGCACAUACCUGGUAGGUGCAGGCUGGUAGUUUUAGUGUUUUUUUUUCUCCCUUCCCUAGACUGUCACUCCUGUUUCAUUCAGAUUCUGUCUGCGCAUACCUCUUUAGCUUGCUGUGUAAUUACUUUAGACAGCUAGACUUAAGAUUAGUUUAUGCAUGGAAAGCACUGACACACCACAGAGAAGAAUUCUAGCACUGCUUACAGGUUUUGUGAGCAUGGCAUUUGUGCACAAAUAUCCCCUUUGUGCUGAAAUUCCGUUGUUUAGGAAGUAUUUAGGAAAAUCUGGAGGUAACAAUUCUUACAGCAUGUCUAUUCUUACAGGGGCAUCAUGUAGCUGAAGAUCCCAGCUGUGCUGUUAUGUAACCGUGCAAGUUAUUGACCUGGAAAUCCAAAUGUGAAGAUGCUGUUACUGGUGUCAUACCUUUUGGAACUGGCAGUGUCUUGAUGUAUUGACUGCUCCAUAACCAACUCCCCUUUUGGGUGAUGAAUGUACAUUGCACCUCAUGAUGAAAUAAAUUAUUUUCCUGUCAGUUAAUUUCUUAGGCACCCUGAUAUGGUAAGUUUUCUGGCACGGAGGGUUCUGAAAAGACAUAGAUCAUUGCCAGGAAGUGUGUUGGGAAAGCAGAUAGGUGUAGAACACACUAGGAAAUUCUGUUGACACAGCCUUAUGUAGCUCCCCCAAUUCACUUAGCAAAACAAAUGAAAUUCUUGGCAUGACUAUAAGAAUUGUUUUGAGUAUAAUGUAAGUGAACAGGACAGGACUCCCUGAGGACCUCGGUCCAGCAUGUUUUACAGUAGCUGUAAUUUGGUUACCUGCUGUACUCCUGAGAAAAGGGUUAAUUAGAUAACAAAGAACUCAGGUGGAAUGAAAACCAGAACGCUCUGUGGCCCUUAAGGAUUAUACCUGAGCACACCGUAGUAUAGGACUCUAAAGUAAAUAUAAAUUUGAUAAACCUAUCGGAUAGCAUGGUACAGUAUACAGCAUAAAAACAAUCAAAGGCUCUGAUGAAAUGAGCCUCUUCCUAAAAGACAAUGACGCAGUAGGUUCCCUUCGAGCUAUCAAAUCCAGGAGUGUACAGCAAACGAAUGUCUGCAUGUUUGUACCUGAUCUGUGAUGCCUUGUCUUUCCAUGUGUUGUUGGAGAAUUGGAGAAGCUGGUUCUUCCAAUUUUAACAAGAAAGUGUUCUUCGUCUAUUGAGGUCAUUUAGGAUGGAUCAAUAACGCAAAAGAAGGGUUUAGAUACCCUUGUCACUACUGCUAAUCUCUUCCCCAUUCCUUGAAUUGCUUGGACAGCCAGAAGUGUGGUGAACCGUAUUAAAAGGGAAUAGACACAUGAUACAGAGUGUUUCAGGAUCUAAGGAAUUGUGCCUUGCAAAAGGGGGGAAAGAUGAGCACAGCUGGUUGAAUAACAGGUGUUUACCAAAUCAAAUCACUCAAGACACUUUGUAACUUGGACUAUGUCAUCUCUUUUCACUGCCUGGUAAAUGGGAUCUGUGUUGCAUUGUCCUUGUUUUGUGAAGAAGGCAUUUUAAUGUUGAAUCUGCCAAGUGAAUGGAAAUCUUCACUGUUUUGCUCUUGAAGCCAAAAACUAAGGUCCUUGUGGUCCCUUUGCCAUACAGUCUUUUAGUUUAAGAGUGAAAUAGUUUGCUGAAAGGGAAAAACAAGCCCUUUGUCUUUUUGUAUGAAUGUUUAAAAUGGAAUAUUGUACUAGUGCAAUUGUGAAGGAGUAUGUGAGGAUUUAGGUGUCUGAAAGACAUUUAAUGUGUGGAACCAACAGCCAGGGUGACAUUCAAGCAGUUUGUAACAUCACUGUUUAGUUAAUUUUAUUAUUAUUGCAUGUUUUUUGUUUUUAGUUUUGCUGUCUGUUCUGUUGGCAUUAAAUUCAGAAACAUUAUACAUACAGUAUGGGAAAGUCUUCCCUGGAAAAAAGACCUGGCUAGGUUUUGUCACAGGAAACGAUCCUGAUAUUAACAAGAUCUGUAAAUGAAGUACAUUUUGUGUCAAAAUGUUUUCAAAUGGAAAGCCUUCUUUAAACUUUUUCUCUCAAAACAAGUGGAACAUAGCCUUUUUGUGAAAAAAUGCUAAAAUGUCUUUUCAGUCACUGGCAAUUACUUGUGCCUGCUGCACGGAAAAGCAAAAGUUAUUUUGUAUUUUAAUACAAAUUUUGUUAUGUAAUAAAAGCAGCAUAAUGUUUCCUGUUGGAAUUGUUUGUUUUUUUCAGUCA